UUAAACAUGAACACACUGGAGUCAAAUGAUGACUACUGGGAGCUUAAACUUUCCUGUUUCUGAACAAAACUGAUAAUUAAUCUGCAAACUUGAACCUGUGGAAAAAAAAACGUUACAUCUGGAAAUGUUUCAAUGUAAGACUGCGCUUGUUCUCUGUGUUUGUGAAUAUGUACUGUAUACUGUUCCUGCUGGGUAGCAUGUGCACAUGUGUGUGUGUGUGUGUGUGUGUGUGAUGGAGACUGAUUAAAAAUGAGAUUCAGCAGGAAAAAAAGCCUGUUUGGGUCUGUUAUGGUCAUAUAUGUCCACAUUUAGUGCCACUGACAUUUAAUUCCCUGCUAAAUCUUGUUUGGUUUCUGCUUUUUGUGCUGUACUUUGUUUGAAGUCGACUUUGGUGGUUUUAAAGGGUGGAAGAACAUAUCAUUUUUAUAGAAGUCGUUUACAUGCUCUAAAGAGGUGGCAACAUUGCAAUAAUGCACAUUGUUUUAUACUUGCAAUAUUUGCAGACAUGCAAAUUAAUUUCAUACUGUUUUCUUCUGGAAAUACUAGAUAUUUGUCAUUAUAUAAUGCUGCUUUUGAAUGAUUUUGACAGUAAUCAAAAUAGCCAUUCUUAUUCUUAAGUCAUUACAUUUCAAAAUUUCAGGAGGCAUUUGCAAAUGUUUCUUGUAAUAUUUGUUAAAUUUUAACCAAUGUGCACAUGCUUAAUAAAAGCAAUAGUUCUCCAGUU